GCAGAGUAGACCAAUAGAGAACUGUCAUACCAGGCUAAGACGGCAACGCACAUCACAGCAAGCUGAUUUUAUAAGGUGGGGACUGUCAUGGUGGAAUACAUGCAAAACGCUGAGACCAGUGAUGUAAUCUGCACAUUUUGUGCCUUGGGGACGAGGCAGCAACGACAUCCCAGACCUUCGCCAUUGAUUAGGGACAUGCCAUUGAAACUGACUUGUUGCUCAGUUGAUCUGUUUCAAGUCCUUUUCUGUGCUUGAUGUUAACUAAGCAGUCUCUUCCUACUUAGGAAUUUCUCCAGCAAGCAAUUUAUCGUAUUGAUGGACAUGAGUCUUAUUGUGGAAAUUUGAGGACAACAGUUUUUUCUGGACACUUGUAACAUGCUUUAAGUUGUCACAUGCAUUCGCUGUUGUUUGGAGUCUUUGUUUGGCUAAGUUCUAGUGGCACACUGUUUGGACUGAUUCUUAUGUGCCAAUAAUAUAUUUUUGACUGUUCUAAUGCUGCAAUGUUGACAUAAAGAUAGUACCUAAUUCACCCAUUUUUGUGUUUUUAAAGAAACCAAUAUACAAAAACUUGUUUUUAUGUGUUUGUAUUGUAUUGGAUGAAAUGUGUGACAAUUGCACCUUUCAAUAAAUGUAAAGAAAUGAAUUUAAUAAAAAUGCAUAUUUACAAUUGCA